AUUGAACGCUGGCGGCAGGCCUAACACAUGCAAGUCGAGCGGUAGAGAGGUGCUUGCACCUCUUGAGAGCGGCGGACGGGUGAGUAAUGCCUAGGAAUCUGCCUGGUAGUGGGGGAUAACGCUCGGAAACGGACGCUAAUACCGCAUACGUCCUACGGGAGAAAGCAGGGGACCUUCGGGCCUUGCGCUAUCAGAUGAGCCUAGGUCGGAUUAGCUAGUUGGUGAGGUAAUGGCUCACCAAGGCGACGAUCCGUAACUGGUCUGAGAGGAUGAUCAGUCACACUGGAACUGAGACACGGUCCAGACUCCUACGGGAGGCAGCAGUGGGGAAUAUUGGACAAUGGGCGAAAGCCUGAUCCAGCCAUGCCGCGUGUGUGAAGAAGGUCUUCGGAUUGUAAAGCACUUUAAGUUGGGAGGAAGGGCAGUUACCUAAUNCGUAUCUGNAANGACGUUACCGACAGAAU
rnacentral:rRNA from 1 species